CCUACCCGAAGGGUUUUGGAGAGUAGACAAAGAGACAAACAUAGAGGUGUGAGUUUGGUUUGGUUUUGGGUUUUGGGGGGUUGGUAGUGUUUGAGGUCCAUAUGCCUCGAUCUUCCGCUUCUAUUAAUUAAUUUUCUCUAUUAGAAAUAUUAUCUAAUUAUUCCACUCCAUCGAACCAUGCACAUAUAUAAUGAUAUGUAUAAGCCCAUCAAAGUUUUUGAAUUCAGUGCAAACACUUGUCAAAGGAGCAGUCCCGAUCUGGUUCCAUCUUAUCUUCGUUGUCUGUUCGACCUUGGCUUUGGC
rnacentral:pre_miRNA from 1 species